CUUGCUUGGGGACCAGGGGGCUCCCGGCUGAUGUAGAUGGCAGCGGGAAAAGCAAGCCGGGGCGUCCCCCGUACCCCACGGCCCCCAGCCCACCAGCCCCGACUGCCUACGAACCCAGGACAAACCAGGGCAAAGUUCUCUUUUCAGAUCCACCCCGAGGACUUGCUGCUGCAAAGCAGCUGGUUGCCAUCCACAGCAGCCUGCUAGCCGCGGCUCCCCACCCACCACUUCCUCCUGGUCUCCACCAGCCUUUGCCUGGACCGUGCAUUCCCCUCGCCGCGAACCGAAACCGUCCCAGCCCGGAGGCCUCCGGCCAACUUCUUUGUGCCAUCCUUUAGGAUACCUUGGGUUAGAAGCGUUGUCCUAGGGGCCUGGGGAGCGCAGUCAGAUUUGAAAGGACUCUCAAAUAUCACCUAAUUCAACUUUGGCCUACUGCACUCAAGUCCCUGAUGUCAUGCUUCCUAGUAAAUCUUCAACCAGGUUCUCCUGCCAGCCCUCCAGAGUCAGGAUGCUCACGACUUCCCAAGGAGGUCCACUGCGUCUCCGUCGGCUCUGCUCAUAGGAAAAUGCUUUCUUGUAUUACAUGUGAGCUUGCCUCUCUGUGACUUCCAUGCUUUAGACCUGGUUCUCUCCAGCUGAAACGCCCGCGACAAAUUCGUUCUCUUUCCCAUCUGGAAGCCUCUUCAGAAGUGUGGAUGCAGCUUAUCAGUCUAUCUUCCAGGCUGAACAAGUAUAUCUAAUAUUCCCCUUAAGACAAAGUCUCAAGUCCUCUGACCAUCCCAGGAGGAACACCUGUUAAAGCGAUCCUCCUAAAAUCGGGUGCCUUGAAAUAAAUGCAACGAAGAUA